GACAAAAUGGAAGACAACAAGUAGUUUCAAGGAAUGGCCUCGAAAGUCUAUCUCAUUUGAUAAAAGUGAGCCUUGUUAGAUACAUAUUUACAAAAAUCAACUUUCUCUAAAUGAUUUUUCCUGGCCGAUAUAAUUUUAAUGAGUCUGAUUUUUCGCAAAUUCUUGAUUAUCUAAGCUUGAUUAAAAAAAUCACGCCGAAUCAUUGAUUGGAUAAGAAGUGGUUUGAUUGUAAAACAAGAAAAUGCAAAAUGUGACACUGUACUUAUGUCGUUAAACUGACGGCAUUCAUUUUUGUACUUAUACGUAUUAUUGUUAUUAUUAUUAUUCUAAUUAAAUUAAAUGUCUAGAGUCAGUAUUUUCUUCUCUCUUCUCUCUCUUUUCCUGGUGCGAAGUCUUGCCCCGCAAUGCUUAAUAAACCGCAAAAUGCUCAGCUACAGUAGAUGAAAGAUGUAAGAAUACUUUCGGAGGAAUUGGAAUCCUUUAUGGGCACUCUCCUAGAAACAUGGAAUAAAGAAACUUUUAAGAACUUCUUAAACAGUGGAUACACUUUUAGCCGGACAAUAUUGAGUCUUUAUAUAGUUUACGAGAGCAUCAGAGAUUCCUGCAAAGUUGGUAGAACUUAGAAGAAGCCAAACUGAUUAAUAACGUUAAAAUUUUCAAGAGCAAUCCUGUGAAGCUGGUUAAAAAAUAUAUAUAAUUAUCCACCUCUAUCGAUUUUAUGCAAUAGGCAUCCUUAAUAUUGUAAUAUCGGUUAUAGUUUAUGUUUAUUGGAAGCGGGUGCUAGCAGAGAGGAUUAAGGGAAACACGAUACUUGAACUCUUAAACGACCUUCAAAAGUAGGAAAACUGGGAAAACGCAGAUAAACAGUUUAAAAUUACACUAUAAAUUAUAGAAAUAAAAUAUUAAAAACGCUUUAGCAUUAUUGACAAAUCAAAUUCGACUAUGAUGUUAUGUAUAAAAAAAUUUGGAUUUCUAUUUUUUUAGACAGAAUGAAUUUUUUUCUGCUCUUACGUCAACCCUUUAGGGUCUCAUUUUUCUUGGUGAUUGCGAUAUUUUGUGAAUGAUUGAAAUGGCAUUAAAUUAGCUAUAUAAUGGUUCUGAAUUUGUAACUUUAAUAUUCUAUUUCUAUCAAAGAACGCUCAGUUGUAGCAAAUAGUUUCUGUUUAAGCUCAAUUUACGUCAAUCAUAUCAUUCUGGGGCCUUUACAUGACACCCAUAUUAAAUAUUAAUUAAUA